rnacentral:rRNA from 1 species
AGAGGUCCCGCCUGCCCUGUGACUAUAUGUUUAACGGCCGCGGUAUUUUGACCGUGCGAAGGUAGCGCAAUCACUUGUCUUUUAAAUGGAGACCUGUAUGAAAGGCACCACGAGGGCUUAGCUGUCUCCCCUUUAAAGUCAAUGAAAUUGAUCUCCCCGUGCAGAAGCGGGGAUAUACUCGUAAGACGAGAAGACCCUAUGGAGCUUAAGAUACAAGGCGAGUCGUGUCAAACACCCCCUUAAAGGAAAUGAACGAAAUGAACUCCGCUGGAAUGUCUUCGGUUGGGGCGACCGCGGGGAAAGACAAAACCCCCACAUGGACCAGGGCCACUAUAGCCCUAAAACCCAGACCCACAGGUCGAAUCAACAGUAAAUCUGACCACCAAAGAGCCGGCAAUGCCGACCGACGGACCAAGUUACCCUAGGGAUAACAGCGCAAUCCCCUCCCAGAGCCCUUAUCGACGAGGGGGUUUACGACCUCGAUGUUGGAUCAGGACAUCCUAAUGGUGCAGCCGCUAUUAAGGGUUCGUUUGUUCAACGAUUAAAGUCCU